UACGUAGGGGGCAAGCGUUGUUCGGAAUUACUGGGCGUAAAGGGCGCGUAGGCGGUUCGUUAAGUCCUGUGUGAAAUCCCCCGGCUCAACUGGGGAACUGCACAGGAAACUAGCGGGCUUGAGUUCGGGAGAGGGAAGCGGAAUUCCGGGUGUAGCGGUGAAAUGCGUAGAUAUCCGGAGGAACGCCGGUGGCGAAGGCGGCUUCCUGGACCGACACUGACGCUGAGGCGCGAAAGCUAGGGGAGCAAACGGG
rnacentral:rRNA from 1 species